rnacentral:rRNA from 1 species
UAGGGAAUCUUCGGCAAUGGGGGGAACCCUGACCGAGCAACGCCGCGUGAGUGAAGAAGGUUUUCGGAUCGUAAAGCUCUGUUGUUAAGGAAGAACGAGUGUGAGAAUGGAAAGUUCAUGCUGUGACGGUACUUAACCAGAAAGGGACGGCUAACUACGUGCCAGCAGCCGCGGUAAUACGUAGGUCCCGAGCGUUGUCCGGAUUUAUUGGGCGUAAAGCGAGCGCAGGCGGUCAAUUAAGUCUGAUGUGAAAGCCCCCGGCUCAACCGGGGAGGGUCAUUGGAAACUGGUUGACUUGAGUGCAGAAGAGGAGAGUGGAAUUCCAUGUGUAGCGGUGAAAUGCGUAGAUAUAUGGAGGAACACCAGUGGCGAAGGCGAGUCUCUGGGCUGUAACUGACGCUGAGGCUCGAAAGCGUGGGUAGCAAACAGG